AUACCCAUCUCUCACUGUAAUUGUUCCAGUUUGUUUACUGCUGUGUUAUGUGAGUUAUUGAUCUUCUCUUUCUAGCUUCUUUGUGUUCUUCCAGUUUCUAAUUCAUUUUUGCUUUUAAAGAGUUUAAAUAAAAGCUUGAAAAGGAUUAUCAAGCUGAGCCUUGAGAAGGCAUUGCUUAAAGCCAGCAUCCAUGCCAAAAAAGAAAGAAAAAAAUUACAAUAAUAAUAAUUUAUAGACCUGAUGACCAUUCUAGCUCAUCAAUGAACUGCCUGGUAGGGACAACAAAUUAGAAUAAUUUAUGGCCUGAUUCUGAGAGGCCCAGCAUGGCCCUGCUCAGCAUUGGGCAGCGCUCUGCAUUCACUGUACUCACGGUGUGGUGGGACUGAUCCUCACAGCUUUCUCUCAUUUUUUAUUUUUUUUUUUUUGUGUGCAGAGGGGAAAGCAAUGUCCAUCUGUACCCAGCUUUCACUUCAGAUUUUGUGAAAUAACACCGACACAUGAGAGUGUACCCAAAACAUCUUUGGUUGCCACUGGAUGCUGAAGCAUUGCGAUCAUCUGAUGUGUCCCUCCAUGGGCAGGAAGUCUCCUACCUCUCGCUUCAGGUUGCAGUUGAUCCGGAGGGGGAUCCUGGGGAUGGUAGCGCCCAUUAGCGCAGUGUCAGCCUUCUUGCAGCAUGGCUAAUGCAGCAUCUGAAAGGAGCAGACGUGCUCGGCUUAAGCAGCCAUAGCGCUGCCACCAGAAUAGCCAGGAAUAACUUGGAGUCAGACUGCUGCUUUAGUUGUCCCUUGGCCCCUUCAUUGGCAUUCUCCAGGACCACCUUCCUUUGAGGAGAGAGAAUAACCCAGGGAAGCAUGGUGUCCACUGGAUUGUUAUGGCUGUGUAAAAAGAGACUGAAAUGGUGAGACCACUUGUAUAUGCUUUGUGUUCACAUGUGCUGGCUUCAUGAUAGAUCAGGCAGUGGACAUGCAUCUGGUCCUGCCAGCAUUACGAGUGCCGGCCUCCAAUCUGCAGCAGAUAAAAGACAGGGAUCAGAGCCACAUGCCCUAGCUGCCAACCAUGGAGCUCUCAGCAACCUCGAGACAUGUCAGGUUGCUGACGGAUACAACUUCCUUGUGAUACAGAAGAGGGCAGUGAUGUUUCAUUUUUGGGGACCGGAAUCAGCAGGGGUACCAGCUGUACAAACUGAUGUGCAAAGAAGUUACUCUGCAAGGGAUACUUGA
rnacentral:lncRNA from 1 species